CUCUCUGAUUGAGAGCGCAGAGCAUUCGACCCUCUGUUCCGUGAUCAGGAACGCCUUGUCUGAUUUGAAUUUGGAUCUGUUAACCAACCGUGCUUUGUUUGGCAAUAUGAGUAGUGGAGUGGAGUUUCUGGAGUAUUUGUUUUGGCGACAACUCCUGUUAUGUUAUGCAUCACUACUCCCAACACAAUUGCCCAAUUGGCAAUUGCUCCCCUAGCCUAGCUAACUCGGCAGUCGGCACACCAACAACUGUAGGUCGGCUCAUCGGCAAUAACGAUCCUAUUGCAAAUCCAAUUCAGUAACAUGCACCUCCUCAUAUUUAAUGAAUAAAUAAUUGCUUAUUUGUUCGUAUUGUUUGACCAGGCUGUCCCAUACGACUUUGAAUUGAAUAUAUUAAGUAGUCCCA
rnacentral:lncRNA from 1 species